rnacentral:rRNA from 1 species
UACGAAGGGGGCUAGCGUUGCUCGGAAUUACUGGGCGUAAAGGGUGCGUAGGCGGGUCUUUAAGUCAGGGGUGAAAUCCUGGAGCUCAACUCCAGAACUGCCUUUGAUACUGAAGAUCUUGAGUGCGGGAGAGGUGAGUGGAACUGCGAGUGUAGAGGUGAAAUUCGUAGAUAUUCGCAAGAACACCAGUGGCGAAGGCGGCUCACUGGCCCGAUACUGACGCUGAGGCACGAAAGCGUGGGGAGCAAACAGG